rnacentral:lncRNA from 1 species
AAAGCAGCGUGUGAGGGGCAGCCCUCGGUUCAGGGCCGCCAGCCUUCCCCCCGCUCAGCCGGGGCUGCUGCGUGCUUUGCUCCCUUCCCGCUGUGGUUGCUGCAGCACUGGCCCAGGCAACUUUCCCUUCCUGGUCGGUCCAUUUGUUUCCAGGUCAAUAUGAUUUUAUUCCCUGUAUCUGCAACCCAAGGAAGGCCUCGCGGAGCACAAAAGCACUCCAGCCUUGUUCUCGCCGUAGUAAUCUCCCCUGCAGGUAUCUGCAGGACCGCGAUGCUGGGUCAGGUUCUCCGYGCUCGUUCAGCCACCAGGGCUGCUGCGUGAGCUGUCAGAAGCUGUGAGCAUCACUGGGUGCGAUGCUGAGGAUGCUUCGCGGAGGACAGGAGCAGCAUGACCUUCUGAAAAGAUCCUGGUACAACACCACCACUAGAAGCAAGAAGCAGAUGCGUCCGUGUGGCUUUUGUGCAUCUAAAGGCAGAGAAAGAAGUAGUGCAAGAUCUGCUCGGUGCUGGAGAGGGAAGAAUUUCCAUGUUUCUGAACUGCACGUGCAGCUCUCCCUGCRGCAGGCAUCUGAGAAAAGCCAGGAUGGACCGACAGCUGAGCAGGCAGUCUGACUGAAGGAAAAGGUGGGGAAUGUCGGGAAGCACCACCAACCUGCACAAAUUGGGAUUUCACUUACUGUCCUGUUGAUUUCUGUGCUUUAGCUAGGCAGGGAGGGGAGAUUUUAACCAGUGUUUAGAAACGUAAUGGUUCAGCCUUCUGCGUAGCUGUUUUUCACUCGUUCCACCCCUGCUCUUCCAUCUCUAGCAGGCACACAGUUCCAGCUCCUCUCUCUGUACCUCCUCAGACAAAUAAGGCAAAGACCUGGGAGCAGCAGAUACAGAUGCCCAUACUGGAACAGGUCCCAUGCAUUUUCUUUGGCAGCGGUCUGGCUGCCUGCCUGCGACUCUGCCCCAGCUCGUUGUGCUACUGACUGAGUCUAAAAACAUCCUAGGACUUUGGUGGCAGAGCUGUAAGAGAGGGGCAAGUCCUGCCCAUCCAGCUAACAGGUCUCACAGCCUGUGAGUGGCCCUGCUGAAAUCRGUGAAGUCCAUAGGGAUGCCACUGUAUUGACAGAAUUAGCUGUUCCUUAGAAACAUGUUAAACUUGAACAAGCAGCUUAAGAAACACCCUGGCUACUAGAAACUGGGCAAGUGCCAGAGAAGAGGCUGCUUUUUACUCUUUCCCUGCGCGCUCGCUCUCGGCAGUCAGUGGAGGAAUCCAGGGGCAGAUGGGCCUUUGGUCUGCCCAGGGCGCUGUUCUUGCGGCCCGUGUUUGAUAGUAGCUGGCAGAGAGUUGUGCAGCUGUAAAUCCUGCGGGAGAUGUUUUAGUCAUAAGGAGCGGUUUGAAAUCCAUCUCC